AAAUAUGGAACCAAUCAUCAAAUCUUUAUUCUAAAAUGUGCUAAACGCUUGCCCUAGCCACGUGUUUAUGUACUAACUUUCCUCUUCUAUCUCUCCAACUAUUUCUUUUUUUUUUUUCUCUCCUUAUUCUUUUCAACAAUAUUGAGAGCAUUUUCUUAUAUCAAAACACCAUUUGAGAACACCUACAAAUUUUUAACUCUAC
rnacentral:lncRNA from 1 species